rnacentral:rRNA from 1 species
GAUGAACGCUGGCGGCGUGCCUAAUACAUGCAAGUCGAGCGAACAGACGAGGAGCUUGCUCCUCUGACGUUAGCGGAGGACGGGUGAGUAACACGUGUAUAACCUACCUAUAAGACUGGGAUCACUUCGGGAAACCGGAGCAAAUACCGUAUAAUAUAUUGAACCGUAGGGGUGAAUAGUGAAAUUCGGUUUUUGUGGAUCUUAUAGCGGGAUACGGGCCGGUUUAGGUAGUUGGUGAGUUAACGGCCUAUCAAGGCAACUAUGCGUAGCCGAACGGAGAGGGUGAUCGGCCACACUGGAACUGAGACACGGUCCAGACUCCUACGGGAGGCAGCAGUAGGGAAUCUUCCGCAAUGGGCGAAAGCCUGACGGAGCAACGCCGCGUGAGUGAUGAAGGUCUUCGGAUCGUAAAACUCUGUUAUUAGGGAAGAACAACUGUGUAAGUAAAUAUGCACGUCUUGACGGUACCUAAUAAGAAAGCAACGGCUAACUACGUG